rnacentral:rRNA from 1 species
UAGGGAAUCUUCGGCAAUGGACGAAAGUCUGACCGAGCAACGCCGCGUGAGUGAAGAAGGUUUUCGGAUCGUAAAACUCUGUUGUUAGAGAAGAACAAGGACGUUAGUAACUGAACGUCCCCUGACGGUAUCUAACCAGAAAGCCACGGCUAACUACGUGCCAGCAGCCGCGGUAAUACGUAGGUGGCAAGCGUUGUCCGGAUUUAUUGGGCGUAAAGCGAGCGCAGGCGGUUUCUUAAGUCUGAUGUGAAAGCCCCCGGCUCAACCGGGGAGGGUCAUUGGAAACUGGGGGACUUGAGUGCAGAAAAGGAGAGUGGAAUUCCAAGGGUGGCGGUGAAAGGCUUAGAUGUAUGGAGGAACACCAGUGGCGAAGGCGGCUCUCUGGUCUGAAACGGACGCUGAGGCUCGAAAGCGUGGGGAGCAAACAGG